rnacentral:tRNA from 1 species
GCCCUCGUAGUCCAAUGGACAAGACGACCGCCUCCUAAGCGGUAGAUUCAGGUUCGACUCCUGACGGGGGCACUA